ensembl:lncRNA
AAGCAUUACAAAAAACCAGAUGAGUAGUGCAAAUAUUUAAAUAACUUGAGGAAAUGUGAUUGAGCCUACAGAAUUUACAUGGGCCUUGUCCACACUUACGCUUGAUUUGCUCUCACUGGCAGUCCUCUCUCUUACUGGUUAGAGAAGCAGCAAAUUCACUCUCUCCUUGAAGAAUUACCCAUUACGAUUAGGUCCUACAAGCCUAUUGUAUCUUCUUGCAUUUGGCCAUCGAGAUAUGUCUGUACACACACAUGGCAGCCGAGAACAGGUUUUAGAUAUCUACAAUGUGUGGCCUGCAAAGAGAACAGCUUUACAUAAUUACAAAAGACAAGGAAGAUUGGUUUCAGAAAAGCCAAUGGUGGAACAGACGAUUACACAUAAAAUUCUGGGCAAGAAGACAAUGACAAUACCAAGAGAGAGAGAGAGCUCAAGAGAGCGAUACUAAGAACUCAUUCAGAAAUCAAGAAAACCCAAAUAGCAUUUAUCCAAGCAGAGAGCAGCUUUACAGUGUUCUAUUAAGCAAAAGGAAGGCAGAUGUUCCAUCUUGUCCCUGUUGGGAAGGUUUUCAUUUGUAGCUGGGUGAUGUUUUUAAAUAAGACUUUGCUAAGUACCGCUUUGUAGAAGGAAAUCGAAUUUCAUGACAGGCUGAAGGAAUUUUAGGCCACUCUGGUAGCUCUCAGAUGUGCAGUUCAAACUGUGGCUUAAAAAGAACAUGUAGGAAUGGAAAAUAUUCAAGACUUAGAGUUAAGGACCCUAUGACUGCCUUUGCCAUUAAAUAGGCCAUCUACCUUUUCAUGCUUCAGUUUCUUCAUUUGCUGAGCAGGAUUAUAAUAACAUACUGCACCUUUGUGAAAUUGGUCGAUACACCACUUCACUGGGUCUCUGUAG